GAAACAGAGGAGACAUCUUAAAGCAUUACCAAAACUCUUUGCUUCUACUUUGAGCCUUAAAGUAAGAUCUCAGUGUAUUACAGACAAGGAAGGGCCUGGAAAUCAGCUAGCCUGGCUCUUCUGCAGAGUUGCCUCUUUAGCCUUGCUUUAAGCAUCUCUGUGGGACAAAGCCAUCAUGGAAAUGUCAUUUGCUGCGUUUAUCUGCUUACCUCUGACUGCAGCACUCUCUUCAGAGGAUGAGGGAGGAUCCUCAUACUCAGGAAAUAAGUAACUUCCUGGGUCUAAGAAAGGGGAACUUAGAAGUUUCAAAUGACCCUCCAACACUAUGUAGACUGAGGAGCCUCUGACCAACUCAGCUUCUGAAAAAAAUCCAAACCUGUCCCUGCAGUUUCGGCUGUGCUGUUUCCGGAGUCAAGUAUUGAGGUUGAAGGAGGCUGAUUAGGCCUGGUCUGUGGCAGAAUGGUGCCCAAGCAGGGACCUCUGGACAGGUAAGACUUUAUCUCUUUUUCUUCUAUUUCUACUUUACUUCUCAGGCAUGGAUAGGAUCUCGUCAGGGCACUGCGGCCUACUGACAAAGAAUCAUCAGUUUGAGGAUGACAAGUAAGUUUUUACCGUGGGGCAGUCUGACAUUAAAACAUGUUUAUAUGCCUCACCAACCGUAGAAAAGGCCUAUGUUGUAGCAAUGAAGAGUCAGAAACUCAGCGCCAAUUUUAAGAACACCUGUGAGAAUAAAAAGCGUUCUCAGGGGAAUCAAGCUGCAUAUUCCGGUUGUAGAAAACCAGAGCAACAGAGGAAAGAUUGUAAAAAUCCCUCUGGAAACAACGAGGGCCUUCCUCCAGGUCUCUGCCCAUGCUGCGGUGAAGAGAACCUUCGAGGAAUGAAUGUAAAUCAAAGUCCCAUAAAGAUGGGACUCGGCUCACUAAAGAAGCGGGUAAGACAAAAAACUAAAGGGGCAGUCUCUUAGCCCUGUUCAGGAACUGUGGACCUCAUUAUAGGACACAGCCCCAGUUAGAAAAACUUCAAGUUGUAGAUUCUGAUACUUUAGAUAAAAUUAAAAGUUAUGGUUAAAGCAUUAAAAAGAGACUUCAUAAAAGUCAAAGAAUAGCUCAAUUCUUACUGUUAUUAUUUACAACUCCCCAAUCCUGCAUUGUCCCAAAAAUUUGUAGAUAAGGCUUUAUUGGAAGUUUAAAAAAAAUCAUAUCCUCAAGCAUUUAGAAUUCAUUUUGUGGAUGGUGUUUUUGUUGGUCGCAGAAAGUGGAGAGCGUUUUGCAGAUGGCUGUAAAAUGUUUGAAUCAGUGUGGGCUGAUGGUAGCUUCAAAAAAGAUUCAGCAUGGUAAACUUUUAGGUUAUUUGACACCUUUAGUGUAUAGAGAUUGUGUGUUUUCUCAGAGAAUUGCCCUCAGAUUAAAUAAAUUGGAAGUUUUGGAUGCUUGCCAGAAGCUGUUAGAGAAUUUUGGGUUUUAAUCCUGGUUUGACAAGCCCCCUCUUACAAGCAGGAAAGGAAAAGAAAGGAAAGAGGAAUAGAAAGAGG
rnacentral:lncRNA from 1 species